rnacentral:lncRNA from 1 species
CCCGCGGCUGAAAACGCCCUUGCACUCGUCGCGCUCCGCCGCCAUGUCGGGAAGCACAACCCACCGGUCCGAGGAAACAUCGUAGGCCAGCGCAGACCGCAGCGCGUUCUUCUCAUUGUCGUGUCCGCCGGCGACAAAAACUGUCCCCUCGGAAUCUGACGCGCACGAGAAGAACAUGCGGCGCCCACCCGGCAUGUCCGUCCCGCGGCGCCACUUGGCCGACAAGAAAUUAUAAACAAAAACAGAAUUUGA